AGUUCCUUCCCCUCCCCCGAGCCUCUGCAUGAUUGUUUCAAGUCAGCCUGGAAUUCUUACUUUCACGCCGCUAUUCUUUUCCUUUCUCCGUGAUUGCUUGGCUAGCCAUUUAAAAAAAAAUAUUCUCUGUUCAGUGUAUAUGUUGCUUGUUUGUUUUAUUUAUUGAGAUAUUUUUACAAGCUAAGUGACUGCAGUGUGGCUGUGUAUCCUGCUCCCCACCCAGGAAAAAUAAAGACGUCCGCGCAGCCAUGGUCUCCCCAUCUCUGUUCUCAUCUCUACUUCGCAGCUCAGGGCUCUGCCUGAGAGAGUCAGAACAGGUUGCAAGAAUCACUAUU
rnacentral:lncRNA from 1 species